GCCGCCGGGAAUACUACAAAGCUAGGGAGUGGGAGAGGUAGACGGUACUCCGUAGGAAGGGGUAAAAUCCUUUGAUCUAUGGAUGACCACCAGUGGCGAAGGCGGUCUACCAGAACACGUUCGACGGUGAGGGAUGAAAGCUGGGGGAGCAAACCGGAUUAGAUACCCGGGUAGUCCCAGCUGUAAACUAUGCAAACUCAGUGAUGCAUUGGCUUGUGGCCAGUGCAGUGCCGCAGAGAAGUCGUUAAGUUUGCCGCCUGGGAAGUACGUACGCAAGUAUGAAACUUAAAGGAAUUGGCGGGGGAGCACCACAAGGGGUGAAGCCUGCGGUUCAAUUGGAGUCAACGCCAGAAAUCUUACCCGGAGAGACAGCAGAAUGAAGGUCAAGUUGAAGCCUUUACCAGACAAGCUGAGAAGUGGUGCAUGGCCGUCGCCAGCUCGUGCCGUGAGGUGUCCUGUUAAGUCAGGUAACGAGCGAGAUCCUUGCCUCUAGUUGCUACCAUUACUCUCAGGAGUAGUGGGGCGAAUUAGCGGGACUGCCGUAGUUAAUACGGAGGAAGGAGAGGGCCACGGC
rnacentral:rRNA from 1 species